UACGUAGGGGGCAAGCGUUGUCCGGAUUUAUUGGGCGUAAAGAGCGUGUAGGCGGCUUUACAGGUCCGUUGUGAAAACUCGAGGCUCAACCUCGAGCUGUCGGUGGAAACUGUCUGGCUAGAGUCCGGAAGAGGAGAGUGGAAUUCCUGGUGUAGCGGUGAAAUGCGCAGAUAUCAGGAAGAACACCCGUGGCGAAAUCGGCUCUCUGGAACGGUACUGACGCUGAGACGCGAAAGCGUGGGGAGCGAACAGG
rnacentral:rRNA from 1 species